rnacentral:lncRNA from 1 species
ACUCGAAACCCAAAUCAAAUUGGAAAAUCAAAACGGGGAUUUCUUCGGACCACAAAUCAAAUUGAAAAAUCAAAACAGUGAUUUCUUCAGACCUCAAAGCCAAAUCAAAUUAGAAAAUCAAAAGGGAAUUUCUUCGGACCCCAAAUCCAAAUCAAAUUGCAAAAUCAAAUUCGGACCCCAAAUCAAAUUGCAAAUCCGAAUUAAGUUCACAUACGAACCCAAAUCUUCUUGUCCACAUAAGAACCCAAAUCAAACCAAGUCCACAUAAAAAUCCAAACCCAACACAAACCAAAAAUCUAAAUCCGAAACCCGAACCCAAAAUCCAAACCAAGUCCACAAAUAAAACUUGAACCAAAACUAAAAUCCAAACCAAGUCCACAAAUAAAACUUGAACCAAAACCAAAACCCAAAUCCAUUCCACAAAUAAACCCAAACCCAAAACCAAAUCAAGUCCACAUCCAAACCUAACCCAAACCAAGUUCACAUACAAACCCAAAUCAAAUCAAGUUCACAUAAGAACCCAAACCAAAUCAAGUCCACAAAUAAACCCAAAAUUGAGCCCAAACCAAAUCAAGUCCACAAAUAAACCAAAAUAAAACCAAAACCCAAAUAAAACCAAGUCCACAUAAAAAUCCAAACCCAAAUAAAAUCAAGUCCACAAAUAAACCCAAACCCAAAACUUGAACCAAAUCCAAAUCCAAAACAAAUCAAGUCCACAAAUAAAUCAAAACUUGAACCAAAAUCAAGUCAAGUUCACAUUCAAACCCAAACCAAACCCAAAACCCAAAUCAAAUCCAAAACCCAAACCAAACCAAGUCCAUGAACCAUAUCUAAGUUCAUGAACCAAAUCCCAUAUACCCAAUCUCAUGAACCAUGAACUAAGUCCAUACACCAAGUUCAUGAACCAUACCCAAAUCUCAUAAACCAUACCCAAGUUCGUGAACCAAACACCACGAAACAUACCCAAAUCUCAUAUACAUGAACCAUAAACCAAGUUCAUGAAUCAAAACUCAUAAACCCAGUUCAUGAAUCAAAUCCAUAAACCAUGAACCAAAUUCGUGAACAAAACACCACGAACCAUACCCAAGUUUAUGAACCAAGUUUCAUGAACCACAAACCAAAUCCCAUAAGCCAAAUUCGUGAACCAAACACCACGAACCAUACCCAAGUUCAUAAACCUCAUCCAUGAACCAUAUCUAAGUUCAUGAACCAAAUCCCAUGAACCAUAUACCAAACAUUAUGGACCAAAUCCCAUGAACCAUAUAUCAAACCUCAUUGAUCAAAUCCCAGGAACCAUAUACCAAACCCAAUGGACCAAAUCCCAUGAACCAUAUGCCAAAUCUCAUGGACCAAAUCCCAUGAACCAUAUACCAAACCUCAUGGACCAAAUCCCAUGGACCAUACACCAAAAUUCAUGAACCAAAUCCCAUGGACCAUAUACCGAACCUCAUAAACCAUACACCACAUCCCAUGAACCAAAUCUCAUACAUCCUAUACACCAAACCUCAAUGAAUCAAUAUCCAAAUAUUAUGAAUCAAUACCCAAAUAUUAUGAACCAAUACCCAAACCUAAUGAACCAAUAUCCAAAUCUCAUGCCCAAAGUUCAUCUCCCACUCGAUCGAGUUCUAAAUUAUAUACUUAAAAUCCAGUCAAAUGAUAUCAAAUUCAUUCGAACUCUAACACAUGUACUUAGAGUUCAUCCGACUAACCCUAAUACAUACCUUUAGGGUCCAGUCAACCUUUUACUCUAGCACAUAUACUUAGAGUGGAAGUCAAACCAAGCUUGACUAGUCCUAACCCAUAUACUUAAGGUCUAGUCAGUCUUUUGCUCUAGCACACCUACCUAGAGUGAAAUUCAUACCCGAUCGAGAUCUGAUACAUAUACUUAGAGCUC